rnacentral:rRNA from 1 species
ACUCCUACGGGAGGCAGCAGUAGGGAAUAUUGGUCAAUGGAGGCAACUCUGAACCAGCCAUGCCGCGUGCAGGAAGACUGCCCUAUGGGUUGUAAACUGCUUUUGUACGGGAAGAAAUGUUGCUACGUGUAGCAAUUUGACGGUACCGUAAGAAUAAGGAUCGGCUAACUUCGUGCCAGCAGCCGCGGUAAUG